CCUACGGGAGGCAGCAGUGGGGAAUAUUGCACAAUGGGGGAAACCCUGAUGCAGCGACGCCGCGUGAGUGAAGAAGUGUUUCGGCACGUAAAGCUCUGUCAGCAGGGAAGAAAAUGACGGUACCUGACCAAGAAGCCCCGGCUAACUACGUGCCAGCAGCCGCGGUAAUACGUAGGGGGCAAGCGUUAUCCGGAUUUACUGGGUGUAAAGGGAGCGCAGACGGCAGCGCAAGUCCGGGGUGAAAGCCCGCGGCCCAACCGCGGGACUGCCCUGGAAACUGUGCGGCUGGAGUGCCGGAGAGGUAA
rnacentral:rRNA from 1 species